rnacentral:lncRNA from 12 species
AAAAACAUUUCAAAGAGCUACCCAACACUGUCAACAACACACAGGGAACACUCAGGUAAGUAGUGAAUAACAACAGGUUUAUUUGCAGGUGAGCAGAUGAUCGAGAUGGUGGAGGCAGGUAAGCAUCAACAGUUCAGAGAAGUUGGUAACAGAACUUAACUGGGUUAGUAACUUAAGUCUUUUUCCUUUCCAGGUGACGACAGAGCAAGAGGAUCGCAGGAGCACAGGCGAAGAAUGAGUCAGGUAAGUGUUGCAGGUAUAGUAACCUUGACACCAGACACUAUACUGGGGAGUGUGAGUGGCUAUAUGUGAAUGCUGAUUGGCAGCAACAGGUACGAGUGAUAAUGCUGGUGAUAGGGAGCUUGUUAGCUUGGCUGAAUCCCUGACAAACACCAUGCAUGCCUGUGCAUGUUAGAAUUACUUUGUAAAGCUUUGUAUGAAGUUUUGACCUACAUGCAUAACACACAUAAUACAGUAAUGCUGAAAAAUGACACAUCAAAUGUUUGUAAAAUGUGAUUAGUUGUCAGCUCGAUAUGGGACCUGCACCUUUUCAGAGGCACUUCGAGUACAUCACUGCCGAGGCACCAGCAGGGGGAGCCAAAUGAGCACCAUUCUCCCUCAUUUAUGCCAAAUCUGCUGAAGCACUUCCUGCAUUGGGCCCCUCUCUGCUCCGCACUCAUGCUGGGUUAAUCUAUUUUCCUCUUGUACUAUGGGUGUGGCAGACGAACUGUGUGAAGAGCUCUUCCGUUGGAUUGAUCAGCAGAAGCGAUGUGCAGAUCAUCUCAAGGCUUUGGCCACCGAGCUGGAGGACAUGAGGGAGGUGAUGACUGCAGGCCAGUUGGUGGGAAACACAGCAACUGUGCUUGGGUCUGCCGCUCUUGUUGGGACAGGCAUUGCAACAAUUCUGACUGGAGGCCUGGCUGCACCCUCGCUGGCACUGGCAGCUGGAAUCACAGCCGGAGUGGGUACUGCAACUAGUCUUACACUUACGCUUGUGGAGAAAUGGAAAUCCAGUAAAACAAUGGAAAAUGCAGAGAAGACUGCUGACAAAAUCAAACAGAUUCAGAACAAUAUCGAAAGGCUCCAGAAGAAACUCCAGAAGGAGUGUGAGAGUGAAGGGUUUGAAGUGUCAUCGUCCGAUGACGUGCAGUGUGAAAUCACAGCGAGGAUCCUGAGAGCCUUGGCCAAACGCAGUGGUAGAGAUCUGCCCCUCAGUCGCCUAAGACACCUCUUGAGAAGUGAUGGCAUGUAUACACAUAACAGAUAUCCAAAGUUUAUUCUAGACGGUGCAUUCUUCUACACCGUCAGUUCUUUCAUAGCAUACCUUGGAUAUUCUGCCAUCUUUCUGAAAACAGCAGCAACAAAAGGACAAAAAUAUUAUGCUCCAUUUCUUGUGAAAGCUACUAAAGAAAUGGCUGAUCUUUCACUGAAAACUGUGUUAAAGGGAACAGGCCAGGCCGCAGGAGGAAUCUUUGGGCUGAUAUUAACAGUUCCUGAUCUGAUUGAUAACUGUGAAGAACUGAUUAAAAACAAACAUCAGACUGAAGCUAGCACAUAUCUGAAGACAAAAGCUGAUGAAAUCCGUGAGACCGUGAAGAAAUUUAAAAAGCCAUUGAAUGAAUUGCAAGACAUGCUCAAUCAAAUCCCUGAAAUGGAGUGUCACAUUGAUUUGGCUCAGGAGAUGUUUGGAUCUCAAAUAUACACUCGAGGCACCAUCUGUAUGGAGUAUAAACAGAGCCAAAAGCAGGACAGGAAGACACAGGGGUUUAUUCUCCUAUGCACAAAACACAUAGGAGUAACUAAGAAUUGUUCCACAGGCAAAGACAAAUCAGGUGACAACAAGAACAAAAGACGGAAGAAGAAGACUACUUCAACUGUAGACAGGAGCCUUAACCAGGAGAGGAAACCUGCUUUUCAGAGGAAACCACCACACAAGUCUAAAACAAAAGUAAAGGAAUUUCAGUUCCGCCUUCCUAAAAUAAUGAUGUCUAAUGUACGUUCUCUUCCAAACAAAAUAGAGGAGCUCCAAGAAAUGAUGGAAGAUGUGGAAAACGUUAAUUCCGAUCUGAUGUUCUUCACAGAGACAUGGUUGAACAGGAACUCGCCCAGCAUUAACUUCGAUAGAUAUAAGUCUUUCCGGGUUGAUCGUGAUGCAUGGCUUACUAAGAAAAGUAAAGGAGGGGGAUUGAUGGUGCUUGUGAACAAGGCUUGGGCGACUGAUGUGGAGGUGGAAAACAUCAUGAUUACUCCAGAUUAUGAGUUAAUGGUUGUGUCCAUUAUACCACAUGACCACCCUGAGGAUGCGCCACCACUUACCUUCAUCCAUGUGUAUAUCCCUCCAAGAACUAAUAUGACUCGAGCUGCCAUUGACAUCGCUGCUGUUUACUAUGAUGUUCUGGAGCAGUAUCCUGGUGGUCCUGUUUUCUUGUUGGGUGAUUUCAACCACUGUGACAUCACUCAUCUCUUAGACCUGGAGCAAUAUGUCACAUGCCCAACCAGAAACAGUAACACCCUGGAUCAAUGCUAUGGGAAUGUGCCAGAGGCUUAUAGAUCUGAAUGCAGACCCCCGCUUGGCCGGUCAGACCACAAUGUCAUUCAUUUGAUUCCUAAAAAGAAGUCAGAUGGAAGUGACCCUUCUAAAGAUGAGAAGUGUAGACAUGACAGUACCAAAUCCAGAAAGCAAUGA